rnacentral:lncRNA from 1 species
AGCAGGGUUGGGGUACUUGGGGUACCGCGCUAGGAAUUUGUGGCAUAGCAACCCCAAGCUCUUCUCCUUCCGACUCGGCUGGGAUUUCUCAAAUUCGUCUCCUGAUAAGUGUUCCUGCAGAGGGAAAGGGAUGUGAACCUGUUUUGUACAAAUUGGUGGCUUGUUUGGGUUCUUCAGAAUUGUGGCUUCUGAUUCACUGGAGGUGGCUGUGCCCCUACCCCGCAACCCCCUGAAGUGGCUGGCAUUGGUGCAAAUGAGGCUGUUGAACCUGAUCGUGUUCUCUCUGGCCUUGGACCUGAGUGCUGCAGAGAGAGAGAGAGAGGGAGACUCUGAUGGCUCUGAAGAUCAUGGCCCUUCCCAUAUGAGGUUCUAGGCAGUAUUCCUGAGCCGGUCUCUUGCUCACUCCCCAGCCCUUUUGAAUACCCCUUUUCGGUAUGAAUUUGAUGAUCUAAUUUGACUAUCUCUCAAAUGCUCAGGUCAUCCCAUGAAACUCCAUGCCAGCCCUCCUCUGCCACAUCAUAGUGCCUUUAUUCAUAUCACAGCCCCUGCUGGCAGGAGCUAAACGCAAAGCUGGAACCACACUUGUCAAGCAACGUCGAUGGUGGACACGUUCAGAUGGACACCGUCCGUCAGCUUGGCUGACAGUCCCGGUUCAGAACACCACUUUUCCUAACUUGAGGGCGGGGCAUAUGAUGGGCCAGCUUACAUCCCGGAGCACAGUGACCCUUUCAGAACUGACAACCAGCGCCGUCCAUCACUUUCCCUCCGAGUGAGCCCAGGAGAGGCACCUACCUCUCCAUGCUUCAGAUAUUGGGAAGGAUCUGUGAAAGAAGCUGAAAGUGGGAGAAGGGCAGGAACCACCUGUCCAAUUCCAGAUGCCUGCUGGGAGCGUGGCUGGAGAGUUUGUACAUUUGUCCCUGUUUCUUAUGUUUAACAUAGAGACUUCUUUGGGCAGCCUUGGGCUUGCCCCAGCCAUUUGACUCUGGUACAGUCUCACACUGCUUUGUCAUACCAUGUCACAGCAGAAGGUCGAGAUCAGUGGCAAGCACUCAUUCCUCCAGGGAAACCUGUAAAACAGGAAGGGCAGGAAUUAUUCCCUUAUUUUUCACAAGGAACAAUAAGGAAAAAAGGAAAAUAAGGCCUAUCCAUCUGUCCCUCCAUCCGUCUGUCCACUCAUCCAUUCAUCCAUCUUGCUUUAACUCAGCUAAAAUUUAUUAGUGCACUCCCGUGUUCUAGGAACUGUGAAGUGAAAAGGGGAAAGGAGGUUUUGGAAAAGCUCCUGGGAGAGUAUACAAAUCCAUACAGGAAAAGGGGCGACCAUGGCUCCGGGUUUUUAGAAAGUUGGCAUGUCAUGGCAGGCUGUGGCCAGUAGGUGGCGCUCAGGUUUCCAGACGAUCCAACCGUUUGUAUAGUCCAAAGCUUUCAUUUUCAUAUCCAUUACUGUGUCUGAAAUCAAAUUCUAAGACAUAUUGAAAGACUAUAUUCAAUUUUAUUUUAAUUCAACUUAUUUGCUGUUAAUUGUUCCAUGCUUUUUAAAAAAUGGACAAAUUAAAUCUGGUUGUGUUAUGGCUUCCUGCUAAGUGAAAGGCAUGGCCAAGGAAAUUAGCCUCCUAAAUACGUUAGCACCUCCAGUGAGUGGUAUUACCAAAUGCUGUGAGGAGCUAAUGCUGUCUGGGAACGAUCUGGAAGAAUACACAAAAAUGUCAGAUAUCAGCUCAGGGUGGAACUCCAGAUGGUUUUAUUUUUGAUACUUGUCUGGUUUAGGGCAGAGAAAGAGCACUUUACUUUGCCUGUGUAUUUGCUUGUGUGUCUAUGUGCCCACAUAUGGACGUCUGGUGUCCACAGAGGGUAGAAAAGGGCAUCAGAUCCCCCAGAACUGGAGUUAUACUGUUGUGAGCUGCUGUGUGAGAGCUGGGAAUCGAGUUUGGGGGCGUCUGAAAGAGCAGCCAGUGCUUUUGAGCUCUGAGCCAGUGCUCCAGCCUUGCAAGUUAGUAUCUUUAUAAACAGAAGUGCUAAAAUGA